AUCCUUUUGUAGUUCAUAAGCAUAAUGAUCGGGUUUUCACACGCAUAUGUGAGAUAUGCCUCCCUUAAACCUUGUUACAAUGUCGGCACAUUAUCCAUCUGACA